rnacentral:rRNA from 1 species
GCGCAGCAGUCGCGAAUAGUCUACAAUGGACGAAAGUCUGAUAGUGCGACGCCGUGUGUGCGAUUAAUUCCUUCGGGAUGUAAAGCACUUUUCUAUGAGAUAAAAGCUCUUUAGGUUAAUAGCUUAUUGAGACGGAUAUUAUUAUAGGAAUAAGCUCCGGCUAACUCCGUGCCAGCAGCCGCGGUAAUACGGAAGGAGCGAGCGUUGUCCGGAUUUACUAGGCGUAAAGGGCUAGUAGGCGACUAAUUAAGUUAUAUGUUAAAUCCCACGGCUCAACUGUGGUCCUGCAUGUAAUACUGGUUAGAUAGAGUACUGUAGAGGAAGGCAGAAUUCCUGGAGUAGCGGUGGAAUGCGCAGAUAUCAGGAAGAAUACCAAAAGCGAAGGCAGCCUUCUGGGCAGUUACUGACGCUGAAUAGCGAAGGUGUGGGUAGCGAACAGGAUUAGAUACCCGCGUA